UAUAGUGUCCAUCAAGCAAUAAGCCCAUUUUUUUUAGUGUGGAGAGGAAUAUCGCUUGGUGAUAUGUAAUUGAAGAUUUGGCUUGGAGUAUGGAUAACUUAUUAUCUAUGAGUUAGAGUAGAUGACCUGUCAUUGAAGAGUUUACAUUGAGUUUGGAUGGCUUAUCAAUUAAAAGUUGGCAUGGAUGUCUUUCAUUGGACAAAAUUUGGAUGACUUUUAUGUAGGAUAUCCUUGGAUGACCUCCAUGUCAGAUAUUUUUAGAUGAUUUUCAUGGAAUAUAUCUUUAGUAAAUCUCCUUGAAUGACAUUCGUUGAGGUUUUUUCUUGGGGUUGAAUUAUAGUGAUUCUUUUGGGAGCAACAAAAUGGAGAUGAGUUUGUUAAUUAAUGGAGGCCUAGGGUUGAGAUUGUCGUCGUCGGAAGAGAACAUAUCGUGUCAUUGUUUUUGAGGAGCAUCGAGAGUUUGUUGUCGUCAAUUGGUGAUGGUGGAGACUCAUACGCCACGAUUGACAAAAUGUUGAAAAUUGAGUUUCCAACUAAAUAUUCAAACUAAUAUUCAUAGUCAAAAUAGGAUGUGGAAAUUAGAGAUUCUUGUUAUUUAUAAAGUUGUGGCUUCAUGCUGACAAAAGAUAUCAUUGGUAUUCAGUGUUUGU
rnacentral:lncRNA from 1 species